rnacentral:rRNA from 1 species
GACGAACGCUGGCGGCGUGCUUAACACAUGCAAGUCGAACGGAGUUAUGUUUUCGGAUGUAACUUAGUGGCGAACGGGUGAGUAACGCGUGAGGAACCUGCCUUUCAGUGGGGGACAACAGUUGGAAACGACUGCUAAUACCGCAUAAUACUAUUGAGUGGCAUCACUUGAUAGUCAAAGAUUUAUUGCUGAAAGAUGGCCUCGCGUCUGAUUAGCUAGUUGGUGGGGUAACGGCCCACCAAGGCGACGAUCAGUAGCCGGACUGAGAGGUUGACCGGCCACAUUGGGACUGAGAUACGGCCCAGACUCCUACGGGAGGCAGCAGUGGGGGAAUAUUGGGCAAUGGGCGAAAGCCUGACCCAGCAACGCCGCGUGAGGGAAGAAGGUCUUCGGAUUGUAAACCUCUGUUGAUAGGGAAGAAGAAAGUGACGGUACCUAUCGAGGAAGUCACGGCUAACUACGUG